AUGAAUAUAUAUUACAAAAAAUUCAAUUUAGAAAAUUCAAUUAAAUUUCUAAAAAAAAUAAUUUUCUUUUCUUCUCCUCUCUUUCGUGACUCCUGCUCUCUCUCUCUCUCUCUCUCUCUCUCUGAGAGAAUGAUAAACACCUCAUGGGCACGACCUUUGCAUCUCCUCCUCUUCCCUGAAUUCGGAUCCUCUUCCCCAAUGGAGACCCACCCUCUUCGCCAUAGACGGUGCUUUGCAUUUCCCUUACAACCCUUCGAAACUCAUUGGCUUGGGAAAGACCUGCAAUUUUGGCGAUUUUGAUUCAUAGUUUUCAAUUGCUCAAUAUAUGGUUCCAUGAUUCGACAGGGAACAACACAAAUUGCCAAAGGUCCAAACUCCUUGAUAUAUCAAUAGCAGGUUGUUUGCAAACUUUUUUUAUGUAGCCAUGUUAUUUUGUUGUUGUGUUACCAAGUGGUUGGGGGUUCUCAUGUUUUCUGGUCCCGUUAUUCACUUUUUCCUUAUUUGCUUAUAGCUCCCAAAUUUUUUUGCGAUGCAUUUAUUUUGUUGUUUUCUUUCUUCAUUCCUCUAACUCAGUAUUCCCUGUUCUUUAAAGAAGAUGUGUUUUGUGAAGCAUGGCACUGUAGUUUUCUUUAUAUUCUUUUCCCUUUUCCCCAUAUAAAAAUAAAAUUAUUUGAAUGAACAGGUAAAACAUGUUAAGCCAACUAUGUUACCAUUUUUUUCUUGUCCACUUAUAUCUCAUAAAAGAAAAAAAAAUUUAGUGCUGCAUUUAUUUUGUUGUUUUCUUUCUUUCUUCCUCUAAGCCAGCCAGUAUUUUAUGAUCUUGAAAGAAGAUGUGUUUUGUGAAGCGUGGCACUGUAUAGUUUUCUUAAUUUCUUUUCCUUUCUUUUCUUUUCUUUUCUUUUCUCUUUUUUUUUUCCUUCCUAUAAACGUAAGGGGGUUUGUUGCUUGGUGCAAUAGUAAAAGCUCUACAGGACCUUUUUACCUAUGCCUAGCCUGCUCAGUUAGUGUCAAUGUCAAGAAAAUGCACCAAUCUCUAUCUUUUUUUCUUAAAGGUUUAUAUGUUUGUGAUUAUUUUAACUUGACAUGUUUUUAGUUGGUGGGUUGUCUUGGCAAUGUUUAUAUAUUUAUUAAUUCUUUCUAAGACCAUGGCUUUCCAUGAUUCUUGGCAAUCAUUUGUUUUCUAUUGUUAUUGUUGAUGCUGUUGCUAAAGACCAAGGGUACUUCUAAUUGUUGUUGUGGAUUGGAUUUGUCAUUAUUGUAACUUAACAAAUUUGAGUGCGGGUUCAUUCUAUAAAUGGAAAGGCAUUCUCAUAUGGAACUUGGGUUUUCUUCUGGACAUCAUGACGUUAUUGAUGGCACUCUGCCAUUAUGUGCAUAAUUGGUGGCUUCAUGGCAUGAAAUUUCAUCUUGUGGAUGUAGUUCUUUUCCUAAAUAUAUGUGUAAAGUUUCUCACUAUUUUUUUGUAGCAAUAUAUUGACAUUCAUUUGACUUGGACUUUUCAACAUUAUUAUUUCAUGUUUAUUUUGUUUAACACUUCAUAUUAUUGACCAGGCCUUGUUAGGUGCAAUUGUAAAACGUAUCAAAUGAUUUAUUAGGUUGAAGAUAGCUUUAGGCAUCCUUCAUGGAGCACUUCCAGAUGCAACACUUGAGGAGAUUGAAGCAUAUGAUGAUGAAUGUGCUAUUUGUAGGGAACCAAUGGCAAAGGCGAAGAGACUGUCUUGUAAACAUCUUUUCCAUCUAACAUGUUUGAGAUCUUGGUAUGAUCUAUGUUACGUGUUAUGAUCUUGGACCCCCCCAUCAUGAGCAGAGAGGAAUUUGAAGCUCGGAAAGCUGAUCUAUGAAGGAAGCAUACAACGGAAUCUAUUGCUGCAAAGGCACUAUCAAUAAGCAUCAUUCCUUAUUAUCUGUUAUUAUUGCUUGAGUUUUUGUUCCUAGGAAAUUUAGCAAGAAAUAGAACUUAAAAAGUUUUACUAGCAAUAAUGCUUCCCCAUAUUUAUAUCUAUCUGUGGAAGUGGCUAUCAGAUGCUACUCUGUUUUUACUGCAUAGUGUGAGAAUGCUGCUUCAAGUUUGUAGGAAGUUACUUUCUGCAAGUGCAAAUGUUACCAAAGGUUACUCCCUCUAUUCAUAGAUUCUAAUCAUGCCAUUAAUUUAACUAGGCUCUACAAUCCAAAAUUGAAUCCCAAUCAACAAGGGUCCAUCUUGGGCCUGUAGGCCUGCAAUGAGUUGUUCACAUGUGCACAACUACAAUGACAGAGAUCCUAAUCUUCCACUAUGGUGUAGCUUAAUUAGAUGGUAGUUCAUAGAUUGAAUUCCUCUGUUUUGUCAUAAAGGGGUCCAUGCCAUUCAGUCGUUUACAUUUUGUUUUAUUGCCAAAAACCUAAGACUAGCUUGACAAGUGACAAUAAUGUGAAGAGAGAGUUAUUCUUAAUUGCUUUUAUGUGUUGUACUUUGUACAGGAAGCUGUCCUUUGUUUUGUUACAUGUCUUUGUCAAUCCUAUGUAAAGCACAAAUAGAAUCAUUUAGAAACACAAAUAUCAUUUAGGUAUAACAACCACAACUAGCUGAGUCAAAUAUCAUUUAGAAACACAAAUAUC